UCUAAUAUCUCCUUCACAGGUGACGCCGAGGCAUGUGGGCCUUAUCCACAACUGGAGCAAACACAGCUUUCCUGCUGUCGAUCUUGCUAAUGAACUAGAAUUAAUGAGUGUUACAAAUAAGGGGAAAUCCAUGGACAGGGUGAGGGUGGUUAGACACUUCCCCCAUUAGGGCAAACUGUUAGUGGUUUUGCUCAAAGUGGCUGGAACUGAUGUUAUGCAUAAGGCUUUUCUGCAGAAAAAAAUCUGUUUCAUUGGGGAAGAGCAAUGGUGAGUCACGUUAGAGCAAAUGGUCAAAAGCUCGGCUGAAGAGAUUGGUUUGCGGGAGUGGCAAAAGAGAGGUCGUGAGGCAUUCACAGUAAAUACAAAGAAACGGAAUAGAAUCAAAGAAGGACUGCACACACAAGAUGGACAAACUCCAGUGUGCAAAAGACAACAAACUGUGCAAAUAAAAGAAGAGAAAAAAGGAUAAUAAUAAAUUAUAAGCAAUUUAUGAAGAUGAUGAUUAUCAGGGAGGGAAUUCUUGACCACAGGAGCUGAAGACAUGGUAUGAAUAGUUAGUUUGGAAAUAGGCUAGAGGUCAGAUUCAGAACGGAAUGAUUUCUUAUAUAUUUAUAGGACUCAAUUAGACAAUUAUAGAGAGGAAGGAAGGGAAUUGAAAACAAGAAUCAAAAACUGCAUAUCAGCAGGUCACUUAAUUAGGUGAUUGUUUAGUUCAGUAAGACGAGGUUUGAUGGGUAAAUGGGAUGGUGUUUGCUGGGACAGUGGUAACAGCAUUGAGUAUGGAUGACUCUGAAAUAAACACGAAUGUUCAGAUGAGCAAAUAUAGAACGACGUUGACGUAAGAUAUUGCAGGGGAUUCCAAAACACUGGGUCACGCAUUUUAGAUACAAAGAUACCAGCUGAGUCACCUUUGCUAACGGGACAAGGAAUUCAUCAGACUAGCACUAUUGGUCUAUUAGUGCGAUUACAGCACCAGUGACCCAAGUUCAAUUCUGCCUCUGUCUGUAAGAAAUGUGUACUAACUCCCUGUGAGUGCUUGAGUUUUCUCCAGGUGCUCCGGUUCCCUCUCACAUUCCAAAGAUGUAGCAGUUACUAGGUUAAUUCCAAAGAUGUAGCAGUUAGUAGGUUAAUUCCAAAGAUGUAGCGGUUGGCCCCAUAGGUGGAACUGGGCAGCGGGGAUCAUUGGGCCUGAAAGGGCCGGCUGCUGUGCUGUAUCUCGAAGUAAAAUAAAUAAUCACCAUCAUUAAAGGGACAAUCACUCUAGAGUAAUAGUUGUUGACGCCUAGUAUAACACGAGCCACAAUCCCCAUCUCCUGGAGUCAUUGUGGGGAGCAUUUCAUCCACCUUACUGGAGAGACAUGUUUCUCCUUUCUUGGUUUUGAACAAUGACAUCACAAAACCAUAGGAAUUAGGCUAUUUGGCCCCCCUAGAGGGCUCCACCAUUCCAUCAUGGAUAAUUUCUUUUCCUUCUCAACCCGUUCUCCUGUCUUCUCUCCAUAACCUUUGACGCCCUCCCUAAUUAAGAAACUAUCAAUCUCCGCUUUACUAUAUCCAAUGACUUGACCUCCACAGUUGUCUGUGGUAAUGAAUUCCACAGGUUCACCACCCUCUGGCUAAAGAACUUCCUCCUCAUCACUGUUCUAAAGGGACAUCUCUCUAAUUGUGAGGCUGUGCCCUCUGGACCUAGACUCUCCCGCUAUAGGAAACAUCCUUUCCAUCCAUUCCGAACAAUCCAACUAAUGUCCCCUUGUCCCACGCGAGGUUCAUUCUCAACAAUCCUCUGUCCAUUCUCCAGCUCGUGGACCCAAUCCGAUACCGCCCAUUCACAGCACACACACACUCUCUUCUCUCCAGCAGCACACGCACCCGUCUCUUCUCACUGUUUUGUCUUGAUGUGUGGACCAGCUUGUCUGGUCCCACUGACACAGAAAAAGUAGGAUGUACUCAGAAGGUCAGAAUCAGAAUCACGUUUAAUAUCACUUGCACAUGUCAUGAAAUUUGUUGUUUUGCGGCAGCAGAAUAUUGCAAUACAUAAUAAUAAUAAAUAAUACAUUACAAUAAGAAAUAUAUAUAAAUACAUAAUUAGGUAAUGCAAAAAGAAAGCAAAGGGAAAAAUAAUACCUAAUUCUAUGGUACAUUGUCCAUUCAGAAAUCUGAUGGUGGAGAGGAAGAAGCUGUUCCCCUAAAGACACAUUGAGUGUGGGUCUUCUGGCUCCUGUACCUCAUCCUUGAUGGUAGCAAUGAGAAGGGGGCUUGUCCUGGGUGAUGGGGGUCCUCAGUGGCGGAUGCCGUCUUCUUGAGGCAUCACCUUUUGAAGCUGGGGAGGCUGGUGCCCAUGAUGGAGCUCGUCGAGUCUGCAACUUUCUGCAGUUUUUCCUGAUCCUGUGCAAUGCCCCCCGCCAUACCAGACGGUGAUGCAGCCAGUUAGAAUGCUCUCCACGGUACACUUGCAGAAAUUUGCUGGAAUCACACCAGAUCUCCUCAAACUCCUGUUGAAAUAUAGCUGCUGUUGUGCCUUCUUUGUAACCUCACCAGUAUGCCAGGCAGCUUCUGUGCGAGGUUCGUUCAUCAUCAUCGACGAAGACCUCGACACCAUUAGUACUUUUUACGAGGUUGAGUUGCUAGCUCGACACUCAACCCGGCACGGACGGAGAGCGUGGAUUCAAACUCGGGAACCUUCGUCCGGAGUCCAGCGCUGAUGUCACUGCACCACCAGCCGGCUUCUUAUGGUGCUGAGACUAGCGCGUGAUUUGGAUUUAACUGAGGGGGAUUUGCGCAGCGUCAGCCUCACUCUCUCUUCCCAAUUCCCAUCUGGAUCCAGUGGCAAGACAAGAGUUCAGACGGCUGGAGAUGGGACUAGGCAUGGGGGAUGACCAGGAUGUCUUCUGUGUCUUGUCAUGCUCUACAUGUUCCACGACACUUGCAGUGACCACCUUCUUGACCGUUGGACCUUCCAUUGGUCUCGUCCACUCAACCCGCCGGAGUCUGUCUUCACAUGCCGGGACAGACAGCUCCCUAUCUCACCGAGGGUUUGAGACCCGUCGGCUACCCUCACCUGGUUUAGCCGGCUUGUCAAAGCUGUUGCCCGGGGUGUGGCCACUGUCGCAUGUGUGGUAAGCCAUAUAUAUAUGUUAACUGGGUUAACUGUCUGGACAUGUCCCUCUGCUGACUGCUCUUGUGGCUCCUUCCACAGACCCCUGAAUAAAGGCAAUUUCGCCCUGCUUCUCCCCCUCAGACCAGGGGCAGACACUCAGCAUGGAGGUCAUGUUUUACUGUGAA